UCAUCUUGUCGCUCGUCAGCUUGUCAUACUAUUUUUCUAGAUCCAUUUCGUGUAGGGUUUGGUACAUGUUUUGAACGAAAAAGGGUGAUAUCUGUAUAGUUUAAAACAUAAUGUUGCAGUUCAUGCUCCUGUUCAGCCGACAAGGCAAACUUAGGCUACAGAAAUGGUACGUUGCACACUCGGACAAGGUAAAGAAGAAGAUCACCCGCGAACUGAUCACAACAAUCCUGUCUCGCAAGCCCAAGAUGUGCUCCUUCCUGGAGUGGAAAGACUGUACUAUUGUUUACAAAAGAUACGCUAGCUUAUACUUUUGCUGCGCUAUCGAGCAGAAUGAUAACGAACUGUUAACGCUGGAAGUAAUUCACAGAUAUGUCGAGCUAUUGGACAAGUACUUCGGCAGUGUGUGUGAAUUGGACAUCAUUUUCAAUUUCGAGAAGGCCUAUUUCAUACUGGACGAGCUGCUUGUGGGAGGUGAAAUACAGGAAACGUCGAAAAAGAAUGUCCUCAAAGCAAUAGCGGCGCAAGAUGUGCUACAAGAGGAUGAAGCGGCGGACGGUGCCUUAAGAGAUAUUGGACUGCUCUGAAGCAAAUGCCUUGUUCCAGCGAAACAUCCCACUCUUGUUUUACACUUACUAAACGAACAAAUUAUUUUAAACAUAUUGCUAGACAUUGAACUUUUCUGCCAAUCCCUUGUCGUAUGCUCGUCUCUGCGAAUGACUUGGUGUUCUUGUUCAAAAGCCAGUAGUAUUACUAAGACCAACGCUAGGUGGUGCACAGAGACACGCACACGGAACUCUAAGUGGGUUUUGCUACACAUUUUUUCCUGGGAAAGCAAGACUUUGUUAGAAAAGCAUGCAAUGCUGUAAUGUGUAGCAAACUUUAGAACGUUUGAAUUUAAUAAAAUUAAAGCUUUGAUGUUUAUCGAACGCUCUCUAACGCGGCAAUGUGGGGUAAUAGUGCAAUGGAUCAGUUUCAUAUACGCUGCAACAGUAGAACCGGCUAUACUUCUAGGUGGAAUGAUUUAUAUACCCUUUUGUAUAUUUUUAUGUUCAAUGAUUGUAUUUUUUCAUUUUUUCCUCUUUCCCUAUAAUGAAACCACUCUUUUAUAACAACACUAAUCGUAGUAAGAAAAAGACUUAAAAUGCACAGUUGUAUGCGUUUUAAGAAAUACUAGCAUGGUUAGUGGAAAAGUAGCUGCACAUACUCCGUAACAGCAAAUGCACUAGGCUUCUGCGGCUAUGCAUUUCAAUAUUAGUGUGUUUUUUCACUCUUUACGAUCGAUCGACAAUCCUUACAUCUAAACAAAGUCCAAAAAAACGUUCCAUAUUUCGCACAGAGAAACUUAAGAUUCAACAAUAUCUUCGUGUAUGAUUUUUCACCUUAAAGGUAAUACGUUCUCGUGCGAACUUUACUUCCCUGCACAAAACCCCUUAUUUGUAUUUCUUCUGACCUUUACGUUUCGUUUCGUUGGUUCGAUUGUUCAAAACCCCCACGUGCUGUGUUCUACAGCACAACUGACUACUUUACGUACGUGACUGUAUUGUGUAUUUUGUUCUCCCGUUUUGUGACCCCUUCGAGUUCUGCCUCUAAUUGCAACCUCUCCUCGGUACAAAGUAAACUGAAACAAACUCAACUUCCCUCCCAACAAGGACGAAACGCCACAAGGAUUCUUCGAGGAUCAUGGGCUCGGAUAGACGGCGGCCGGUGUCGGUGGAACAAGGCGUAUCCUUUCGCUAGCCAAAGCUCGCAACGAAUUAUAAUUUACCGUGUAGUAGUUUCGUUUCACGUGCAAAAAAAAUCAUUUUUAGGCGAUAAUUCCAUCCUCUCGCGGAUUCGCGGUUUUAAACAAUUCUCCGUUUCCGUAGGGCGCCGCAACACGCGCACUCGAUUGUCCCCGCACAAGAUAUCAUAUAUUUUGUUUAACGUAACGGUUUUACAUUACAUUUACAUUUCGUACCUUUCGAACGAAAGCAUCCUAAAAUCAAACGAUUUAUCCAGCUGCAUUUUUGUUGUAUUAUUAAUGAUUAAAAUCGAUACGACAUUUUCAUCAGACACCGUAACUACGCUGCGCUACCCAAACGAGCUUUCUCGAUGUAUGGAGUAACAAUGAGAGGAUGUGGAAUGAAUUCAUCGAUCCCCAUUCCCUUUCACUCUACUUGUACUUAAACAUGUGU